AUUGAACGCUGGCGGCAGGCCUAACACACGCAAGUCGAGCGGAUGAGGAGAGCUUGCUCUCUGAUUUAGCGGCGGACGGGUGAGUAAUGCCUAGGAAUCUGCCUGGUAGUGGGGGCUAACGUCCGGAAACGGGCGCUAAUACCGCAUACGUCCUACGGGAGAAAGCAGGGGACCUUCGGGCCUUGCGCUAUCAGAUGAGCCUAGGUCGGAUUAGCUAGUUGGGGAGGUAAUGGCUCACCCAGGCGACGAUCCGUAACUGGUCUGAGAGGAUGAUCAGUCACACUGGAACUGAGACACGGUCCAGUCUCCUACGGGAGGCAGCAGUGGGGCAUAUUGGACAAUGGGCGAAAGCCUGAUCCAGCCAUGCCGCGUGUGUGAAGAAGGUCUUCGGAUUGUAAAGCACUAUAAGGUGGGAGGAAGGGCAGUAAGUUAAUACCUUGCUGUUUUGACGUUACCGACAGAAUAAGCACCGGCUAACUUCGUGCCAGCCGCCGCGGUAAAAC
rnacentral:rRNA from 1 species